rnacentral:rRNA from 1 species
CGAAGGAUGCAAGCGUUAUCCGGAUUCAUUGGGUUUAAAGGGAGCGUAGGCGGACUUAUAAGUCAGUGGUGAAAUCUCUGGGCUUAACCCAGAAACUGCCAUUGAUACUGUAGGUCUAGAGUACAUUUGCUGUGGGCGGAAUAUGACAUGUAGUGGUGAAAUACUUAGAUAUGUCAUAGAACACCGAUUGCGAAGGCAGCUCACAAAAAUGUAACUGACGCUGAGGCUCGAAAGUGCGGGGAUCAAACAGGAUUAGAUACCCUGGUAGUCCGCACUGUAAACGAUGAUUACUCGCUGCUUGAAGGUAACUUUGAGUGGCUUAGCGAAAGCGAUAAGUAAUCCACCUGGGGAGUACGCCGGCAACGGUG